rnacentral:rRNA from 1 species
GCUGGCGGCGUGCCUAACACAUGCAAGUCGAACGAGAAAGUGGAGCAAUCCAUGAGUAAAGUGGCGACCGGGUGAGUAACACGUGACUAACCUACCUCCGAGUGGGGAAUAACUCCGGGAAACCGGGGCUAAUACCGCAUAACAUCGCAAGAUCAAAGCAGCAAUGCGCUUGGAGAGGGGGUCGCGGCUGAUUAGCUCGUUGGCGGGGUAACGGCCCACCAAGGCGAAGAUCGGUAUCCGGCCUGAGAGGGCGCACGGACACACUGGAACUGAAACACGGUCCAGACUCCUACGGGAGGCAGCAGUGGGGAAUUUUGCGCAAUGGGGGAAACCCUGACGCAGCAACGCCGCGUGGAGGAUGAAGCCCUUUGGGGCGUAAACUCCUUUCGACUCGGACGAUAAUGACGGUACGAGUGGAAGAAGCACCGGCUAACUCUGUGCCAGCAGCCGCGGUAAUACAGAGGGUGCGAGCGUNGUUCGGAAUUAUUGGGCGUAAAGGGCGCGU